AUCAAUAUAAGCAUGACUGUUGUUUUUACACAGAUUAAAUUAUGAAGAAGUGCAACUUCAAAAUACAUGAUCAGCACUAAAAGAAAAGGACAUGAAAAUUAAAGACUUGCAGGAAAGGACUGAAGACAUGAAAAAUAACGAACAGAAGCAACAUCACUUGAGAUCUUCUCAUAAGGAAAAGGAAAUUGAAGACCUCAAACAAAUAAUAAAGGAGAAGGAUGAACAACUUAAACCAAUAAGGGAUCCAAGAGAAGGAAGUUGCUCAACAAAAGCAUCAACUGAGAUCUGGAAAGCAAAAGGAAAUUGAACCCUUGCUGCAAAGAGUUCAUGAGAUGGAAGCACAACUUCAAAUAUCAAGAUCUGCUCUACGAGAAAAAGAUGAACAGUUGAAAUCUUUCAAAGACAGAGUGGCAGGAGAAGUUGCUUUGUCAAUCAAAACAGGAAACACAAUGAGCCUCAACAACCCUGUUAAUAAGAACAGAAUAAAGGAAAUGUAUGAAGACCUGAGGUGUGAUUGGCCAAGAAUUAAAAAAAACUUAAAGUCAAACAACAAACAUCCAGAUUCUGUCAAAGAAAUGAUUCUGAAAGAGUUCAGGGAGGCAAAAAUUGAAAUGAGGAACAGAAGAAUGAUGAUAGAUAAAGUGUUUGAAAACGGGAAGAAUGCUGGAGGAACGCCACAAAAGGUUGAUCAGUACCGACAGCUAACAGUUCAGAACCUGCAGAUGACUCUCUACAAUGAGAAGCAAGUCGCUGGUUCACAGAAACCUUUUCUUGAAAAUGAAGCAGGAAAUCCUCAGGAUGUAUUGGAGUAUUUGGGCUCUGAAUGUUAUUGGCUUGGUUGCCUGAUGGCGCUGAACAACCCGCCUCUUCAGCCUGACUGGGAGAAUCAUCCUCCGUCGAUGGAUCGAUGGGACUUGUUCCCCCGAAAUAUCAGAAAUGCUUCUGAAAAUGAGUGAAAUGAAAUUAAUCAAGAAACAAUAUCGCUUUCUACGUCUUUAAAUCUGUGAAAAAAUGUAAGUGUGACAGCUUUAACAGAUCUUAGAGCUCCACCUUUUAAUUUAGUUGAAAUAGAUGUUUGUAAUUAUUGUUUUUAAAAGCUCAAUAAAACCUAAUAAGUUUG